rnacentral:rRNA from 1 species
GAUGAACGUUGGCGGCGUGCCUAACACAUGCAAGUCGAACGGGAGACACCUUUCGAGGUGUUGAGAGUGGCGAACGGGUGAGUAACACGUAACUGAUCUGCCCUAGAGAGUGGGAUAACCAUUGGAGACAGUGGCUAAUACCGCAUAAGCUCACAUGCCUUAGAAAAGUGUGAGAAAAGUUGAGGCGCUCUAGGAUGAGGUUGCGUCCCAUCAGCUAGUUGGUGCGGUAACGGCGUACCAAGGCAACGACGGGUAGGGGACCUGAGAGGGUGACCCCCCACACUGGAACUGAGAUACGGUCCAGACUCCUACGGGAGGCAGCAGUGAGGAAUAUUGCACAAUGGGCGCAAGCCUGAUGCAGCGACGCCGCGUGGGCGAAGAAGGUUUUCGGAUCGUAAAGCCCUUUUCUGUGUGACGAGAAAGGACGGUAGCACAGGAAUAAGUGUCGGCUAACUACGUGCCAGCAGCCGCGGUAAAACGUAGGACGCGAACGUUAUCCGGAGUUACUGGGCGUAAAGCGCGAGCAGGCGGUUGAAUAUGUUACCUACGAAAGCUCUGGGCUAAACUUGGAGAGGAUAGGUGAUACUGUUGA